rnacentral:rRNA from 1 species
CCAGCACCCCGAGUGGUCGGGACGAUUAUUGGGCCUAAAGCAUCCGUAGCCGGUCUUGCAAGUCUUCCGUUAAAUCCAGCUGCUUAACAGAUGGGCUGCGGAGGAUACUACAAGGCUAGGAGGCGGGAGAGGCAAGCGGUACUCAGUGGGUAGGGGUAAAAUCCUCUGAUCCAUUGAAGACCACCAGUGGCGAAGGCGGCUUGCCAGAACGCGCUCGACGGUGAGGGAUGAAAGCUGGGGGAGCAAACCGGAUUAGAUACCCGGGUAGUCCCAGCUGUAAACGAUGCAGACUCGGUGAUGGGCCGGCUUUAUGCCGGCUCAGUGCCGCAGGGAAGCCGUUAAGUCUGCCGCCUGGGGAGUACGGUCGCAAGACUG